UAGGGAAUCUUCCACAAUGGACGCAAGUCUGAUGGAGCAACGCCGCGUGAGUGAAGAAGGUCUUCGGAUCGUAAAGCUCAGUCUUUUGGGACGAUAAUGACGGUACCAAAGGAGGAAGCCACGGCUAACUACGUGCCAGCAGCCGCGGUAAUACGUAGGUGGCGAGCGUUGUCCGGAUUUACUGGGCGUAAAGGGUGCGUAGGCGGAUGUUUAAGUGAGAUGUGAAAUACCCGGGCUUAACUUGGGUGCUGCAUUUCAAACUGGAUAUCUAGAGUGCAGGAGAGGAGAAUGGAAUUCCUAGUGUAGCGGUGAAAUGCGUAGAGAUUAGGAAGAACACCAGUGGCGAAGGCGAUUCUCUGGACUGUAACUGACGCUGAGGCACGAAAGCGUGGGUAGCAAACAGGAUUAGAUACCCUGGUAGUCCACGCCGUAAACGAUGAGUACUAGGUGUAGGAGGUAUCGACCCCUUCUGUGCCGCAGUAAACACAUUAAGUACUCCGCCUGGGAAGUACGAUCGCAAGAUUAAAAC
rnacentral:rRNA from 1 species